GUGGUAGACUCGGAAAAGUGAAGGGUCCAACAUUCCGAAUAUCAGGAGUACAGGUGAAUGCCAAACUAGUCAUCUCCCAUGAAGAAGAAUUAAUACCUUUGCACAAAUCCAUUCCUUCUGAUCCAGAAGAAAGAAAGCAGUAUACUAUCCCAUGCCACACAAAGGCAGCUCAUUUUGAUAUAGACUGGGGCAAAGAAGAUGAUUCCAAUUUGUUAAUUGGCAUCUAUGAAUAUGGAUAUGGAAGCUGGGAAAUGAUUAAAAUGGAUCCUGACCUCAGUCUAACACACAAGAUUCUUCCAGAUGAUCCCGAUAAAAAACCACAAGCAAAACAGUUGCAGACCCGUGCAGACUACCUCAUCAAAUUACUUAGUAGAGAUCUUGCAAAAAAAGAAGCUCUUUCUGGUGCGGGAAGUUCAAAGAGGAGAAAAGCAAGAGCUAAGAAGAAUAAAGCAAUGAAGUCUAUAAAAGUGAAAGAGGAAAUAAAGAGUGAUUCUUCUCCUCUGCCUUCAGAGAAGUCUGAUGAAGAUGAUGAUAAAUUGAGUGAAUCCAAGUCUGAUGGUAGGGAAAGAUCCAAGAAAUCUUCAGUGUCAGAUGCUCCAGUUCAUAUCACGGCAAGUGGUGAACCAGUUCCCAUUUCUGAAGAAUCUGAAGAGCUGGAUCAGAAGACAUUCAGCAUU
rnacentral:circRNA from 1 species